UUCAGACAGUUUAUCAGUGAUCACUCUUGGGGCUAGAUGAAGUGAUUUCCCAGCAUUUUUUGAGCACUGACCAGUUCCAAAUGUGAUUUAUUUACUACUACUC